UACGUCUCCGACGCUUUCCAUGAAGUGAGAAUUGAUGUCGCAGAAGACGGGACGAAGGCAGCGGCGGCUACAGCCAUGGUUCUCCUCAAACGAUCCAGAGCUCCUGUUUUCAAGGCGGACCGUCCGUUUCUAUUCCUGCUGCGACAGACUAACACAGGAUCCAUCUUGUUCAUGGGACGAGUGAUGAACCCAACAGAACAAGCACCCUGACACACACACACACACACACACACACACACACACACACACA